rnacentral:rRNA from 1 species
UUCCAGACUCCUACGGGAGGCAGCAGUGGGGGAUAUUGCACAAUGGGGGGAACCCUGAUGCAGCGACGCCGCGUGGGUGAAGAAGUAUUUCGGUAUGUAAAGCCCUAUCGGCAGGGAAGAAAUUGGACGGUACCUGACUAAGAAGCCCCGACUAACUACGUGCCAGCAGCCGCGGGAAUACGUAGGGGGCGAGCGUUAUCCGGAUUCACUGGGUGUAAAGGGAGCGUAGACGGCCAUGCAAGCCAGGGGUGAAAGCCCGGGGCCCAACCCCGGGACUGCCCUUGGAACUGCAUGGCUGGAGUGCGGGAGGGGCAGGCGGAAUUCCUGGUGUAGCGGUGAAAUGCGUAGAUAUCAGGAGGAACACCGGCGGCGAAGGCGGCCUGCUGGACCGCGACUGACGUUGAGGCUCGAAGGCGUGGGGAGCAAACAGGAUUAGAUACCCGUGUA